UUCUGUGAAUGGCUCCUUACAUCAGCAGGCAUCUCUGUGAGAGUGCGGGGGCCCCAUCUGCCAGGUGGCCCCAUUGGAUACCCUCCAAAACCUAGUGGCUAAUACACGGCUGAACAGGUCUGCUACAGUCAAGGGUCUUGCCGGCCUCCGUGUUGGCUUGACCAGGCAGUGGAUUGCAUCCAGCUGGAGGGGAAGACCAGCGCCUGGAAUGGCAGUGUGUUUGGCUGACUCAGGUUGGUCCUCUGGGGACACCCGUGCUGGCAGAGUGGUGGCUUGCCACAGCAUUGCUUGAUCACACAGAACUUCUGACCUAUCAGCCUGGAUGGUGGUGUCGAGGGCCACCAUGGCAGUCACGGGUAACGGAGAAUCAGGGUUCGAUUCCGGAGAGGGAGCCUGAGAGACGGCUACCACUACUAAGGUGGGCAGCAGGCACGCAAAUUGCCCCAUGCUGAUGCACUUGUGAGGCAGCAACGAGCCGCAGCAAUUCCCCUGGCCUCUAUGACUGGGGGAACUUGGAAUGGAUGCAAUCCAAACACAGUGAUGAGUNUCAACUGGAGGGCAAGUCUGGUGCCAGCAGCUGCGGUAAUUCCAGCUCCAAGGGCGUAUACUAACAUUGCUGUUNNUAAAACACUUGUAGUCGGAUGCUGGGUUUGCAGGUCUGUUGGGUGCAGCUGUGGGCUGUCUGUCCAUGAGUCUUCGGGCUUGUGGCUGUGGUCCGCACUGAUACAACCCCGGCAGUAUGUUCCUGCACCCGUUUUCAUGACGGCGCGAAUAGCUCCUGCUCCAAGUCUCCUUCAGUGGGGGUCGCUGUGGUCUCAUACCCAAAGCUUGUGUGUUGACACCGUGAGGGGCAUAGCCCAUGUUAUGCAGUUCUCUCUGUCCACCACCGGAGCCCGCUGUCACUGAUACUGUGGAAAACUCAGUGUGCCCAAAGCAGCCUGUUGGCUGGAUGUCCGUCCAUGGAAUGUCAUAGCAUCGACCGGAUACGGCUGUGGAGUUGUGCUGGCCUUGGUGCCUAUUCCGGAGAACGUGGCCCAGUCCACAGUUGCAUGGAGGUAUUGCUGCCGUCUGGCUGGUGGUGCUCACCCGUGUCUNUGAUGGGCUGUGUCGAGCGUGCAUGAUGGGACUUCUCGGGGUGCAAGGUAUUGCAACGCCAGAGGUGAAAUUCUUAGACCGCUGCAAGACCAACUGCAGCGAAGGCGUUCUGCAAGUGCAAGUUNGUCGAUCAAGAAUGUGAGUGUGGGGAGCGAAGAUGAUCAGACACCGUCGUAGUCCACAACUGUAAACCAUGCCAGCUCGGUGAUGUUGCAGCAAGUACACGGACUGCAUCAGCACCAUACCCCCUGCAACGAGAAAUCCAAGCCCAUGGUCAAGGGGGAGUACUGUCGCAAGGCUGAAACUUAAAGGAAUUGNCGGAANGUGAACCCAUAG
rnacentral:rRNA from 1 species